UCUUUGGUAGUUCAGUGGUAAAGCGUUUGUUUUUGCACAUAAGAUGUCUGGGUUCAAGUCCUGGUAAGAU